GAGCCGUUAGCUCAGUUGGCAGAGCACCGGACUUUUAAUCCGGGUGUCCCGGGUUCAAGUCCCGGACGGCUCA
rfam:Synergistes jonesii strain 78-1 contig_47, whole genome shotgun sequence.